rnacentral:tRNA from 1 species
UGGGGUGUGGCUCAGUUGCAGAGCCUUUGCCUGGCAUGUGCAAGGCCCUGGGUUCAAUCCCCAGCACUGCAA